GAACCCUUAGCUCAACAGAAUAGAGCAACAGUUUCCUAAACUGUAGGUUGCGAGUUCGAUUCUCGCAGGGUUCA
rfam:Lactobacillus senmaizukei DSM 21775 = NBRC 103853 strain DSM 21775 Scaffold28, whole genome shotgun sequence.